rnacentral:tRNA from 1 species
AAGAAUGAAAUAAGUACUGCUAAUACUUUAAACCAAGAUUAAAAUUUUUGGCACUCUUA